rnacentral:sRNA from 2 species
UGGAUCAUCGCUGUGGGGCUUAAGCGGAUAUUUUCCUGUGUUUGUAUGUACUGUACAUCCUAUUAUUGACAGAGGUUUAUUUUCUCGCAACGACUCGUCAACUGUGUUGCACGAUAAGCAUGCACAGGGAUGGGAUACCAACUCCUUCCAUCCACUUUCCACCUCCUUCCAUCGUCUUCCAAGGGUCUUCUAGAAGCGCCUUGUCUUAGUGUGCUUCUGGAGAGACAUUGCACAGUCUUUACGGAGUGGACUAACUAUGUACCCGUUGAUUAAAAUUCCUAGCUUUGGACUUUCUUUGUACGCUGCCAAG